AUCUUUGCGCUUGGGGCAAUGACGCAGCUAAUGAGGUACUAACCGAGGCGCGUCUAUUGCUGGUUGAAAACUAUUUCCAAACCCCCUCCUGGGCCUAAGCUUGUCUUAGGCUCUCGAGAAUUUCUGGAAGGGCUCCCUUCGGGGUAAAGCC
rnacentral:snRNA from 1 species